UUACAAAAAUUAUAAAGAUUAUUGGGGAAUUGCCACUAAUACCACUUUCCUAAUACCACUUUUCAACUUUACACUUUUCAAUUUUACCAUUAAAAUUUUAAUGGCUAAAGUACCAUUAUACCCUUAUUUAAUCAAACAUACACCUAUUUUCUUUCUCCCAGGAUUCAAACAGUUCCCAAAUUGAAUGACGAGAUUCACGACUCCGAGGAGAUUCUACGAUUAUGAUGAUUUCUCCGGCGAGAUUCGACGACUCCGGCGAGAUUUGAAGACGCUGACGUCCGACGAGAUUUGGCGAAGACUACAAGCUCAAACGAACAAAACAUGACGAAUGCGUAACAAAGGUGAGAGGAUAAUAAUAUAUGGUGAUUUUCGUCUCUUUCUGUAGUUUAAUCUUUGAUUUCUCAAAAUCGAUCAAUUUCUGAGAAGGAAGACGAAGUCUUUCUCAUAAAGUUUUCAAAUCUCAAAUUUAUAAAACUUUAUAAAUUUAUCGAUCAAGAACAUAGUGCUUAUGAAUGAAGACGACUAACCACCAUCAAGUUUUUUCGAUUGUGUUUAUGAAUUCCAUGGAAGCUCCACUGUUUCAAUCUCCUUCUUACUUUCUCGAUUCAACUUAGUUUUACAAUCUAUACCAAAAUUCCGUAAAAGCAAUCACUAAAGCUUUUGGAUAUCGUUUUUGGUUUCGGCUUAGAGUAAUCAGAAGAAUGCUGAAAGAACCCUCCUUUAUCCACUUGUGUGGCAAUGUCAACUGGGCUAAGCGUUUAAAAUGUAAUGUCUGCAACACCAAUAAACAUGGUCAGAAUGAAUGUGGUGUGCGGUAUGACUCAAUGUCAAUGACAACUUUCAUUUGUAUUGUUCUUUAACAGUAUUCGAGCUGAGGAUUGGUAUUAUAGAUGCUUUUGCGGUGAAUUUAGGAUACAUUUAUAAGAUUUUUGUUCGAUAAUGGUAGUCUUCGUGUCAGCUUAUUCAUCUUUAAACAUGGCCUCGUAGAUAACUGGAAAAGGGGAAACAAUAUUAUCUUCUGAAAUUUGACCGAAUGCUUUCUUUGGUAAUAUGUUCAGUAUGACAAAGCUCCUAAUGCAUCAAAAUGUGCUUUCUCACUUGAAAUGUUUUGGCCAAAUUAGUUUUGCAUUAAGAAACGUUAUGUUUCAGCCUGAUAGGCUGUUGUUCACUGUUCUCUUGAAAGACCUGUGCUUAUUCAUUUAUUUUCUCCAUAUAGGGGAGGUCGUGGUGGUGGCUACAAGGAAUUGGAUGAACAAGAAUUAGAGGAAACAAAGAGACGAAGGAGUGAGGCUGAAGAAGUAAUAGCAUAUGCUUCUAAUGCAGAGUUCUUUGUUACUUCUUUUGUUGCAUUUAGUUCUUUUAUAAAUGUUUAUAAAUCAUUUUUGAGUUCCUUGUACUCAUUUUGCCUAGCAUUCCUCAAAGACUUCCCAAGUUCACACAUUUAUAUGUUUUUUAUAGACAUAUGCGAUCCACUUUUGUUUGAAAACUUCUUUAUAAAAACUUAUAAAUAGUCCAGUUGUACUUUUAACAAUAUCCUAAAAUUCAGAUUUAUAAGGAAUUAUAGUUCUGUAAAAAUGUAGUGUUCACUAUCCGAAAAUCUUAAUCUUAACCAGAACUAUUCAAAUAACAAGUUAAGCCUUAUUUGUUUUUUUGGAUAACAGAAAGAAGCAAAUCCUAAAAUUAAUUGAACUCUUGUUUAAAUACUUCUUUAUAAAGAUUUAUAAAUCGUCGAGUUGUACUUUUAACAAUAUCUUGAAAUCUAGAUUUAUAUUUAUAAAGGUGUAAAAAAAUA